AAACAGAUGAAGUCUUAUUUCCCAAGGCUCUUUCUUGAAAAAAAAGAAAAAAAUUAUGAAGUGUUGAGGUACAGAGAGCACCAACCAGAUGCCAAAUUCAUGUAGCCAAUAAAUCUGAGAUUGGUAGAAAGUCCUGCUCUGUUCUCUCCCACAUUUGCCCUGCCCCCAUAAAUGACUCACUCAGAUCCACACUGGGCCCAGUCACAGAGGAGGCAGUCAGGGGCUAAAAGUGACUAAGCACUUUGGGAAAUUAGCACUCUGGUUUGUCAAAUGGUGGAUCUGAUUAUAUAUUCACAUCUUGGGACCCGCCUCAUUGUGGCGCAGCCUCAUCCAAAAUCCCCCACACCCAGAGCUGGUGUAGAGCAGACACAAGAGCCUCCCCAGCUUGAAAAGGACUUUGAGAGAUGAAUUGUCUAAGGACAUGAAUGGUUACAGUCACAGGGCUCUCACACUGGAAUGCAGUUUAUGAAGAAGAGCAUUAUUAUUCCAAAACCCACAUUCUGCAGACGAAGUGGAACUUCUCCAACUGGUUGGCCAUGCCAUCAUUUAAAGAGUAAGGCUUGAAGAAGACAAAUCAAGGAGAAAAGAGAAGAACCAGGAAGGUCUGGGAUCCAGAAAGCCAAGAACAGUGAUUGGCUCUGUGUAAAGUGAAUAGGUAAGACAGGUAGGUGGACAGGGUCAUGAAGGAAUGGGCUUUUUCCAGGAGUUUAGCUGUGAGGGAGCUGGACAGUGGCAGACUGGCAAGGGAGAGAGAUUUUUUAUUUUAAGAAGGGAGAAACAUGACCACGUUUAUAGGCUGCUGGGAAGGGUUCAGAAGAGGGGAGAAGAAAAAAAAAGGAGAGAAUAAAAGGCCAAAAGAAAUUGGAUCCAGAGUCCCAGAAGAGGCUCUAUGGAGGAGACAACCCAGCUUUUCCCUCGAAAGUGGAGGGGAGGGCUGGAAGGUGAAUGUGAUGGCAGAGGAAUCCGAAGUUCUGAGGGUAGGAGUUGAAGGAGUUCAUAAAAUAGAAGAUGCUAUGGGCUGAAUGUUUGUGUUCUCUCAAAAGUCAUAUGUUGAAGCCUUAACCCCAAAUGUGAUGGUAUUAGGAGGUAGGGCCUUUGGUGGGGGGGGGGGGGUGGUAAUUACAUUCAGAGGAGUUCAUGAAGGUGGAGCCCCUAUGAGAGAAUUAGUGUCCUCAUAAGAACAGAGAUCAGAACCCUCCCUCUCUCUACCAUGGGAGGAUGUGGCAAGAACACAGUCAUUUGCGAACCAGGAAGAGGGCUCUCCCCAGACACUGAAUUUGCAAACAAUUGGUCUUGGACUUCCCAGUCUCCAGAACUGUGAGAAAUAAAUGUUUAUUGUUUAAG